UACGUAGGUGGCAAGCGUUGUCCGGAUUUACUGGGCGUAGAGAGCGCGCAGGCGGUCGUUCAAGUCGCGUGUGAAAGCCCCCGGCUCAACUGGGGAGGGUCACGCGAUACUGAUCGACUGGAAGGCAGGAGAGGGUAGUGGAAUUCCCGGUGUAGUGGUGAAAUGCGUAGAUAUCGGGAGGAACACCAGUGGCGAAGGCGACUACCUGGCCUGUUCUUGACGCUGAGGCGCGAAAGCUAGGGGAGCAAACGGG
rnacentral:rRNA from 1 species